rnacentral:rRNA from 1 species
UACGUAGGCAGCAAGCGUUGUUCGGAGUUACUGGGCGUAAAGCGCGUGUAGGCGGCCAUGCAAGUCGGAUGUGAAAGCCCUCGGCUCAACCGGGGAAGUGCACCCGAAACUGCGUGGCUAGAGUCUCGGAGAGGAUCGUGGAAUUCCUGGUGUAGCGGUGAAAUGCGCAGAUAUCAGGAGGAACACCGAUGGCGAAGGCAGGUCUCUGGGCCACUACUGACGCUGAGAAGCGAAAGCAUGGGGAGCGAACAGG